rnacentral:rRNA from 1 species
GGAGGAAAAGAAACCAACAGGGAUUGCCCUAGUAACGGCGAGUGAAGCGGCAACAGCUCAAAUUUGAAAGCUGGCUUAGGCCCGCAUUGUAAUUUGCAGAGGAUGCUUCUGGCGAGGUGCCUUCCGAGUUCCCUGGAACGGGACGCCAUAGAGGGUGAGAGCCCCGUAUGGAUGGACACCAAACCUGUGUGAAGCUCCUUCAACGAGUCGAGUAGUUUGGGAAUGCUGCUCUAAAUGGGAGGUAAAUCUCUUCUAAAGCUAAAUACCGGCCAGAGACCGAUAGCGCACAAGUAGAGUGAUCGAAAGAUGAAAAGCACCUUGAAAAGGGGGUUAAACAGUACGUGAAAUUGUUGAAAGGGAAGCGCUUGUGACCAGACUUGCGCCGGGCAGCUCAUCAGGGGUUCUCCCCUGUGCACUCUGCCCGGCUCAGGCCAGCAUCGGUUUUCGUGGGAGGAUAAGAACGGUAGGAACGUGGCCCCCCUUCGGGGGGGUGUUAUAGCCUGCCGUACGAUACUCCCGUGGGGACCGAGGUUCGCGCUCCGCAAGGAUGCUGGCGUAAUGGUCAUCAGCGACCCGUCU